GCGUGCGCAGGCGGUUCCGCAAGACAGAUGUGAAAUCCCCGGGCUUAACCUGGGAACUGCAUUUGUGACUGCGAGACUAGAGUGUAGCAGAGGGGGGUAGAAUUCCACGUGUAGCAGUGAAAUGCGUAGAUAUGUGGAGGAAUACCGAUGGCGAAGGCAGCCCCCUGGGCUAACACUGACGCUCAUGCACGAAAGCGUGGGGAGCAAACAGGAUUAGAUACCCUGGUAGUCCACGCCCUAAACGAUGUCAACUAGGUGUUGGGGAAGGAGACUUCUUUAGUACCGCAGCUAACGCGUGAAGUUGACCGCCUGGGGAGUACGGUCGCAAGACUAAAACUCAAAGGAAUUGACGGGGACCCGCACAAGCCGGUGGAUUAUGUGGAUUAAUUCGAUGCAACGCGAAAAACCUUACCUACCCUUGACAUGUCAGGAAGAUUUCAGAGAUGAGAUUGUGCCCGAAAGGGAACCUGAACACAGGUGCUGCAUGGCUGUCGUCAGCUCGUGUCGUGAGAUGUUGGGUUAAGUCCCGCAACGAGCGCAACCCUUGUCAUUAAUUGCCAUCAUUUAGUUGGGCACUUUAAUGAGACUGCCGGUGAUAAACCGGAGGAAGGUGGGGAUGACGUCAAGUCCUCAUGGCCCUUAUGGGUAGGGCUUCACACGUAAUACAAUGGUCGGUACAGAGGGUUGCCAACCCGCGAGGGGGAGCCAAUCCCAGAAAGCCGAUCGUAGUCCGGAUUGUAGUCUGCAACUCGACUACAUGAAGUCGGAAUCGCUAGUAAU
rnacentral:rRNA from 1 species